rnacentral:miRNA from 1 species
UAGUUUGUAGUCAUCCUCAGGAUUAAUAAUUAUUAGUCAUCCUCAGGAUUUAUUAAUAUAUCAAUAAUUAUUAAUUAAUAAAUCCUGAGGAUGACUACAAACUA